GCCUGGGUGGCUCAGUUGGCUGAGCAUCUGACUUCAGCUCAGGUCAUGAUCUUGAGGUUCGUGAGUUCCAGCCCCACAUCAGGCU
rfam:Felis catus isolate Cinnamon breed Abyssinian chromosome B1, whole genome shotgun sequence.